GACGAACGCUGGCGGCGUGCUUAACACAUGCAAGUCGAACGGAAAGGCCCUGCUUGCAGGGUGCUCGAGUGGCGAACGGGUGAGUAACACGUGGGUGAUCUGCCCCUUACUUUGGGAUAAGCCUGGGAAACUGGGUCUAAUACUGGAUAGGACCAUGCUGUAGGUGGUGUGGUGGAAAGAUUAGUUUCGGUAAGGGAUGAGCUCGCGGCCUAUCAGCUUGUUGGUGGGGUAAUGGCCUACCAAGGCGUCGACGGGUAGCCGGCCUGAGAGGGUGGACGGCCACAUUGGGACUGAGAUACGGCCCAGACGCCUACGGGAGGCAGCAGUGGGGAAUAGUGCAAAAUGGGCGCAAGCCUGAUGCAGCGACGCCGCGUGGGGGAUGACGGCCUUCGGGUUGUAAACUCCUUUCAGCCAUGACGAAGCCCUUGUGGUGACGGUAGUGGUAGAAGAAGCACCGGCUAACUACGUG
rnacentral:rRNA from 1 species